rnacentral:rRNA from 1 species
AUAACGAACGAGACCUUAACCUGCUAAAUAGCCAGGCCCGCUUCGGCGGGUCGCCGGCUUCUUAGAGGGACUAUCGGCUCAAGCCGAUGGAAGUUUGAGGCAAUAACAGGUCUGUGAUGCCCUUAGAUGUUCUGGGCCGCACGCGCGCUACACUGGCAGAGCCAACGAGUUCAUCACCUUGGCCGGAAGGUCUGGGUAAUCUUGUUAAACUCUGCCGUGCUGGGGAUAGGGCAUUGCAAUUAUUGCCCUUCAACGAGGAAUGCCUAGUAAGCGCAUGUCAUCAGCAUGCGUUGAUUACGUCCCUGCCCUUUGUACACACCGCCCGUCGCUACUACCGAUUGAAUGG